rnacentral:rRNA from 1 species
UACGUAGGGUGCGAGCGUUAAUCGGAAUUACUGGGCGUAAAGCGUGCGCAGGCGGUUUUGUAAGCCAGACGUGAAAUCCCCGGGCUUAACCUGGGAACUGCGUUUGGAACUGCAAGACUAGAGUGUGUCAGAGGGAGGUGGAAUUCCACGUGUAGCAGUGAAAUGCGUAGAUAUGUGGAGGAACACCGAUGGCGAAGGCAGCCUCCUGGGAUAACACUGACGCUCAUGCACGAAAGCGUGGGGAGCAAACAGGAUUAGAUACCCUGGUAGUCCACGCCCUAAACGAUGUCAACUGGUUGUUGGGAGAGAAAUCUUUCAGUAACGAAGCUAACGCGUGAAGUUGACCGCCUGGGGAGUACGGCCGCAAGGUUG